AUUGAACGCUGGCGGAAUGCUUUACACAUGCCAGUCGAACGGCAGCACGGGGGCAACCCUGGUGGCGAGUGGCGGACGGGUGAGUAAUACAUCGGAACGUGCCCGGUCGUGGGGGAUAACGUAGCGAAAGUUACGCUAAUACCGCAUACGCUCUGAGGAUGAAAGCGGGGGACCUUCGGGCCUCGCGCGCUCGGACGGGCCGAUGUCGGAUUAGGUAGUUGGUGGGGUAAAGGCCUACCAAGCCGACGAUCUGUAGCUGGUCUGAGAGGACGACCAGCCACACUGGGACUGAGACACGGCCCAGACUCCUACGGGAGGCAGCAGUGGGGAAUUUUGGACAAUGGGCGCAAGCCUGAUCCAGCCAUUCCGCGUGCAGGACGAAGGCCUUCGGGUUGUAAACUGCUUUUGUAUGGAACGAAAAGGCUCUGGCUAAUACCUGGGGCUCAUGACGGUACCGAAAGAAUAAGCACCGGCUAACUACGUG
rnacentral:rRNA from 1 species